AUACUUGCAUAUCAAAAGCGGAGGAAAAGAAACCAACAGGGAUUGCCUUAGUAGCGGCGAGUGAAGCGGCAAAAGCUCAAAUUUGAAAUCUGGCUCUUUCAGAGUCCGAGUUGUAAUUUGAAGAAGGUAUCUUUGGGUCUGGCUCUUGUCUAUGUUUCUUGGAACAGAACGUCACAGAGGGUGAGAAUCCCGUGCGAUGAGAUGAUCCAGGCCUAUGUAAAGUUCCUUCGAAGAGUCGAGUUGUUUGGGAAUGCAGCUCUAAGUGGGUGGUAAAUUCCAUCUAAAGCUAAAUAUUGGCGAGAGACCGAUAGCGAACAAGUACAGUGAUGGAAAGAUGAAAAGAACUUUGAAAAGAGAGUGAAAAAGUACGUGAAAUUGUUGAAAGGGAAGGGCUUGAGAUCAGACUUGGUAUUUUGUAUGUUACUUCUUCGGGGGUGGCCUCUACAGUUUAUCGGGCCAGCAUCAGUUUGGGCGGUAGGAGAAUUGCGUUGGAAUGUGGCACGGCUUCGGUUGUGUGUUAUAGCCUUCGUCGAUACUGCCAGCCUAGACUGAGGACUGCGGUUUAUACCUAGGAUGUUGGCAUAAUGAUCUUAAGUCGCCCGUCUUGAACCACGGACCCC
rnacentral:rRNA from 1 species